rnacentral:lncRNA from 1 species
GUCAAAGAGGUUGCUCCUUGAUGGUUCGCAUAUUUGGUGCAUUGUGUAGAGAUGAUUACCAGUAAGAUCUGGUUCUCACCAUCUUCCUUCCAAAAAUAUGACGAUAUCCUUUCCCAGCACCAAUCUAUUGUUGCGCCUCUCCGAUGAAGUGUGACGAGGCAAGACAACUCGAAUUGAUUGCCUAGCUGAAAUAGACAAGCGCCAGUCAAGAUUCAGGUCACCUGCAAAAAAGUUCGCUCGUGCUAGAGAAAGAGAUUGGGGGUUCUCCGGCAAAGGACUCUCCGAUACUUAAGUCAGAGAGUG